GUUUCUGCACCUCCAUGAGUGGCUGCGUCCUCCUGUGGCUACAAGUCUCCUGCACACAGUUUUUAAAACGGUUAGAUCUCCAAUUUCCUUGCUUCUUAUCUGUGUCCUGCAAAGGAUCAGUGCGGCUGGAUCACAGCGAGACUCGUAUCCGAUGGAAAAGACU